UGUAUAGGUGAAGUUUGCGAAGCUAUCCAAACAAAUCUUUGUACCAAGCAUAUUGUUUUCGAAAUGUGUGAAGAGAAAAGGAUGGAAGCCAAAAGAUUUUUUAAUACUAAAUGUUACAUACCAGGGGAAACUGAAACAUAGUAUUAAUGCUAUGGCCAUAUGUGAUCAUGAAAUGUACAUUAGGGCUAUUAAUGGGCGUUAUGGAGGUGCUUGUCAUGAUUCACAUGUUUGGAAUUUAUCAGAAGAGAGAGAAUAUUUAAAAGAAAUGUUCUAAACUGGUGAUACUGGAACAA